rnacentral:rRNA from 1 species
GUCGAGCGGUAAGGCCCAUUCGGGGUACACGAGCGGCGAACGGGUGAGUAACACGUGGGUGAUCUGCCCUGUACUUCGGGAUAAGCCUGGGAAACUGGGUCUAAUACCGGAUAUGACCACUGGUCGCAUGGUUGGUGGUGGAAAGAUUUAUCGGUACAGGAUGGGCCCGCGGCCUAUCAGCUUGUUGGUGGGGUAAUGGCCUACCAAGGCGACGACGGGUAGCCGACCUGAGAGGGUGACCGGCCACACUGGGACUGAGACACGGCCCAGACUCCUACGGGAGGCAGCAGUGGGGAAUAUUGCACAAUGGGCGAAAGCCUGAUGCAGCGACGCCGCGUGAGGGAUGACGGCCUUCGGGUUGUAAACCUCUUUCGACAGGGACGAAGCGCGAGUGACGGUACCUGUAGAAGAAGCACCGGCCAACUACGUGCCAGCAGCCGCGGUAAUACGUAGGGUGCGAGCGUUGUCCGGAAUUACUGGGCGUAAAGAGCUUGUAGGCGGUUUGUCGCGUCGUUUGUGAAAACUUGGGGCUCAACCCCAAGCUUGCAGGCGAUACGGGCAGACUAGAGUACUUCAGGGGAGACUGGAAUUCCUGGUGUAGCGGUGAAAUGCGCAGAUAUCAGGAGGAACACCGGUGGCGAAGGCGGGUCUCUGGGAAGUAACUGACGCUGAGAAGCGAAAGCGUGGGUAGCGAACAGGAUUAGAUACCCUGGUAGUCCACGCCGUAAACGGUGGGUACUAGGUGUGGGUUUCCUUCCACGGGAUCCGUGCCGUAGCUAACGCAUUAAGUACCCCGCCUGGGGAGUACGGCCGCAAGGCUAAAACUCAAAGGAAUUGACGGGGGCCCGCACAAGCGGCGGAGCAUGUGGAUUAAUUCGAUGCAACGCGAAGAACCUUACCUGGGUUUGACAUAC